rnacentral:rRNA from 1 species
AGGACGAACGCUGGCGGCGUGCUUAACACAUGCAAGUCGAGCGGUAAGGCCUUUCGGGGUACACGAGCGGCGAACGGGUGAGUAACACGUGGGUGAUCUGCCCUGCACUCUGGGAUAAGCCUGGGAAACUGGGUCUAAUACCGGAUAUGACCUGCUCUCGCAUGGGGGUGGGUGGAAAGAUUUAUCGGUGCAGGAUGGGCCCGCGGCCUAUCAGCUUGUUGGUGGGGUAAUGGCCUACCAAGGCGACGACGGGUAGCCGA